GGAGGGAUCAUUACCGAGUUUACAACUCCCAAACCCCUGUGAACAUACCAAUUGUUGCCUCGGCGGAUCAGCCCGCUCCCGGUAAAACGGGACGGCCCGCCAGAGGACCCCUAAACUCUGUUUCUAUAUGUAACUUCUGAGUAAAACCAUAAAUAAAUCAAAACUUUCAACAACGGAUCUCUUGGUUCUGGCAUCGAUGAAGAACGCAGCAAAAUGCGAUAAGUAAUGUGAAUUGCAGAAUUCAGUGAAUCAUCGAAUCUUUGAACGCACAUUGCGCCCGCCAGUAUUCUGGCGGGCAUGCCUGUUCGAGCGUCAUUUCAACCCUCAAGCCCCCGGGUUUGGUGUUGGGGAUCGGCGAGCCCUUGCGGCAAGCCGGCCCCGAAAUCUAGUGGCGGUCUCGCUGCAGCUUCCAUUGCGUAGUAGUAAAACCCUCGCAACUGGUACGCGGCGCGGCCAAGCCGUUAAACCCCCAACUUCUGAAUGUUGACCUCGGAUCAGGUAGGAAUACCCGCUGAACUUAAGCAUAUA
rnacentral:rRNA from 1 species